rnacentral:rRNA from 1 species
GACGAACGCUGGCGGCGCGCCUAAUACAUGCAAGUAGAACGCUGAAGCGAGGAGCUUGCUCUUCUUGGAUGAGUUGCGAACGGGUGAGUAACGCGUAGGUAACCUGCCUUGUAGCGGGGGAUAACUAUUGGAAACGAUAGCUAAUACCGCAUAACAAUGGAUGACACAUGUCAUUUAUUUGAAAGGGGCAAUUGCUCCACUACAAGAUGGACCUGCGUUGUAUUAGCUAGUAGGUGAGGUAACGGCUCACCUAGGCGACGAUACAUAGCCGACCUGAGAGGGUGAUCGGCCACACUGGGACUGAGACACGGCCCAGACUCCUACGGGAGGCAGCAGUAGGGAAUCUUCGGCAAUGGGGGCAACCCUGACCGAGCAACGCCGCGUGAGUGAAGAAGGUUUUCGGAUCGUAAAGCUCUGUUGUAAGUCAAGAACGAGUGUGAGAGUGGAAAGUUCACACUGUGACGGUAGCUUACCAGAAAGGGACGGCUAACUACGUG